rnacentral:tRNA from 1 species
GGCCCAUUAGCUCAAUUGGUUAGAGCGUCGUGCUAAUAACGCAAAGGUCACAAUGUCGGGGCGUGUAUGGGCCA